rnacentral:rRNA from 1 species
GCCAGUCAUAAACCUUUACUUACAAUAAAAUCGCCAGGGAACUACGAGCUAAGCUUAAAACCCAAAGGACUUGACGGUACCCCAUAUCCCCCUAGAGGAGCCUGUCCUAUAAUCGAUAAUCCACGUUUAACCUCACCAUUUCUAGUUAAUCAGCCUGUAUACCUCCGUCGCCAGCUUACCCCGUGAGCGCUAAUUAGUGAGCUUAAUGUUACCACACCAACACGUCAGGUCAAGGUGCAGCAAAUGAAAUGGAAAGAGAUGGGCUACACUUUCUACUAUAGAAGACACGAAAAAUUACUUAUGAAACCUAAUUAGAAGGCGGAUUUAGAAGUAAAAAGGAGUCAGAAUAUCCAUUUUAACUUGGCACUGGGGUGUGU